AUUCCUUAUCCUUAAGAUGCCUAACGUUAGCAGCAACAGCAGCAAGGGGUCAUCCAAUUAUGGGGAGUACAAGCAUUGGUUUUGCUGCUCGUGUGGUGCUCUCAACUCGUCCUGGGUUUCGAAAUGCUACGAGCCCAGCUGCCAGCACGUCCAGUGCACGAGUUGCAAGAAGGACAACCAGAUUGUCCGCGAUACGACAUCCCCUUCCUGCUCAUCUUCCUCAACAAGGCGCUAAGCCUAGAAGAAUGGAGAUGCCUUUUUCGAUUUACGAGUAACUCAUGCGGCACCUCAACAUCAUGGCUCUUUAAAGAGAUUCGGCUCUAAUCUCACAUAACGCUUUCAAUACUUCACUCAGCACCCUCUGGAGCUCCCAUCACAUCAGUCAUCUUUACACAUUCCGAGCCAUGGAGGUCUCCUAUCCUUAGAUCUUUUUUCGACUCACGUCAACCAUCGAUAUUACGACGGCGCUCACAUUCAGGUCUGGAGUUCUCCGAAAUCGGUGUUCUGGCAAGGGGGAAAAGCAGACUGAUAAGCUAGGAGUUUAAUAUACCUGAUUUUUAUUUUGGCGACAUCUUGCUGCUCGGGUUUGCGUUCUUUUUGUUUUAGUUUGUCGGAUCACAAGUUUGAGACUACGGCGGUGAGGUUGCUCAGCAAUCCAAACCUAGUAUUUGUUCCCGUCUUCCACUGCCUUUCUCGUAUCUGUUGAUUUGCUUUUUUUUUUUCCAAGAGUAAGAAACUCAUCUGUCUCAAUGUCGCACCUGAUCUCCCGAAUUCGAGUCCCAAAGUUUAGUUCUUGCUUCUCUUCGUCAUCUGUUCUCUCUCCGUUUCUGGUCUUUGCAUCUUUCUUAAUGCUGCGCUUUCUAACUGAACUUACGGUUCAUAUUUGUUCAGAUUCUGGUUGUGGUUAAGUUCGGGGCCAAAAUAUUUAAAGCCUGACCCAUUGUUAUUCAG